GACGAACGCUGGCGGCGUGCUUAACACAUGCAAGUCGAGCGAUGAAGCACCUUCGGGUGUGAAUUAGCGGCGAACGGGUGAGGAACACGUGAGAAAUCUGCCUUCAACUCUGGGAUAACUCCGGGAAACCGGGGCUAAUACCGGAUAUGAGCCUUGAUCGCAUGAUCGGGGCUGGAAAGUUUUUCGGUUGAAGAUGAUCUCGCGGCCUAUCAGCUUGUUGGUGAGGUAAUGGCUCACCAAGGCGACGACGGGUAGCCGGCCUGAGAGGGCGACCGGCCACACUGGGACUGAGACACGGCCCAGACUCCUACGGGAGGCAGCAGUGGGGAAUAUUGGGCAAUGGAGGAAACUCUGACCCAGCGACGCCGCGUGAGGGAUGAAGGCCUUCGGGUUGUAAACCUCUUUCAGUAGGGAAGAAGCGAAAGUGACGGUACCUACAGAAGAAGCACCGGCUAACUAUGUGCCAGCCGCCGCAGUAA
rnacentral:rRNA from 1 species